rnacentral:tRNA from 1 species
ACUUUGAAAGGAUAGAGAGUCAUCCGUUGGUCUUAGGAACCAAAGAAUUGGUGCAACUCCGAAUAAAAGUG